rnacentral:rRNA from 1 species
GAUGAACGCUAGCUACAGGCUUAACACAUGCAAGUCGCGGGGCAGCAUGGGGGUUGCUUGCAAUCCCCGAUGGCGACCGGCGCACGGGUGAGUAACGCGUAUCCAACCUGCCCUUCACCACGGGAUAACCCGGCGAAAGUCGGACUAAUACCGUAUGUUGUCCAUUGACGGCAUCCGAUUUGGACGAAAGGCUUGGCGGCGAGGGAUGGGGAUGCGUCCGAUUAGCCAGACGGCGGGGUAACGGCCCACCGUGGCUACGAUCGGUAGGGGUUCUGAGAGGAAGGUCCCCCACACUGGAACUGAGACACGGUCCAGACGCCUACGGGAGGCAGCCGUGAGGAGUAUUGGUCAAUGGGCGUAAGCCUGAACCAGCCAAGUAGCGUGCAGGAUGACGGCCCUAUGGGUUGUAAACUGCUUUUAUGCGGGGAUAAAGUGGCCCACGUGUGGGCUUUUGCAGGUACCGCAUGAAUAAGGACCGGCUAAUUCCGUG